GCUGGGCACGGUGGCACAUGCCUGUAAUCACAGCAGCUCAGGAGGCUGAGGCAAGAGGAUCGUGAGUUCAAAGCCAACCUCAGCAAAAGCAAGGUGCUAAGCAACUUAGUGAGACCCUGCCUCUA
rnacentral:sRNA from 1 species